GUAGUACUCCCUCCGUCCGGAAAUAAUUAUCAUCAAAAUAAAUAAAAGAGGAUGUAUCUAGACAUAUAUUAAUUCUACAUACAUCCCUUUUUAUCCAUUUUGAUGACAAGUAUUUUCGGACGGAGGGAGUAAUAG
rfam:Triticum aestivum genome assembly, contig: Triticum_aestivum_CS42_TGACv1_scaffold_321616_4BL